rnacentral:sRNA from 1 species
AAGCGAAAUCGAGAAAUCGAGAAAUCGGGAAAUUGGGAAAUCGGGAAAUCGAGAAAGCAAGAAAGCAAGAAAGCAAAAACGCGAAAUCGAGAAAUCGAGGAAUCUAUUUCAUUUCCCGUUUUCGCGUUUUUGCUUUCUUGAUUUCUCAAUUUCGGGGUUUCGCUUUCUCGCUUUCCCGAUUUCCCGAUUUCCCGAUUUCCUGAUUUCUCAAUUUCUUGAUUUCGCUUU